rnacentral:rRNA from 1 species
AAAGGGCGACAAGUUGCUGGGAGUAGACCCGAAACCAGGUGAGCUACUCAUGGUCAGGGUGAAGCGGGGGUAACGCCUCGUGGAGGCCCGAACUCGUUAAUGUUGCAAAAUUAUGAGAUGAACUGUGAGUAGGGGUGAAAUGCCAAGCGAACUUGGGGAUAGCUGGUUCUCCCCGAAAUAGCUUUAGGGCUAGCCUCAAGUGUUGAAUACCGGGGGUAGGGCACUGGAUUGGCUAGGGGGCGUAUAGCUUACCAAACCAAACCAAACUUCAAAUACCGGUAGUUGUAGCUUGGGAGUCGGACUACGGGAGAUGAGUUUCUGGUCAAAAGGGAAACAGCCCAGAUCGCCAGCUAAGGUCCUGAAGUACGAGCUAAGUGGGAAAGGAUGUGGGAUUACCCAGACAGCCAGGAGGUUGGCUUAGAAGCAGCCAUCCUUGAAAGAGUGCGUAAUAGCUCACUGGUCUAGUGAUCCUGCGCCGAAAAUUUAACGGGGCUAAAGCUCGUCACCGAAGCUGCGGAUUCAUAUACUUGCGGGUAUAUGAGUGGUAGGGGAGCGUUCUGCACAGCAGAGAAGGGUGACUGGAAAGACGCCUGGAGCGUGCAGAAGAGAGAAUGCUGGCAUGAGUAGCGAAAAACACGUGACAACCGUGUUCGCCGUAAAUCUAAGGUUUCCGACGGAAGGUCAAUCCGCGUCGGGUUAGUCGGGCCUAAGGCGAGGCCGGAUGGCGUAGCCGAUGGACAACAGGUUAAUAUUCCUGUACCACGUGAUACCGUUUGAGUGAAGGGGUGACGCAGGGGGGUAGGCCAGCCAGUUAUUGGAUUCUGGUGCUAAGCCUGUAGGGCGAUGAAGGGGAUAGGGAAGACCGUUCCUGGAGCUUGAGGGGUGAUGGCGGAGCCUGAGAGGGCCGGAAGUGGCUGAGCCCGAGCUGCCGAGAAAAGCCUCUAGCGAGGUAUGCGUGACCGUACCGCAAACCGACACAGGUAGAUGGGUAGAGAAUACCAAGGCGAACGGGAGAACCCUUGUUUAGGAAUUAGGCAAAUUAAGUCCGUAACUUAGGGAAAAGGACUGCCACUGGUUGUGAGGGCGACUAGCUUGUCUGAGCGAUUGGUGGUCGCAGCGAAAUGGCUCUGCCGACUGUUUAACAAAAACACAGGUCUCUGCGAAAGCGAAAGCUGACGUAUAGGGGCUGACGCCUGCCCAGUGCCGGAAGGUUAAGGGGAGAGGUGAUGAGCUUUGAACCGAAGCCCCGGUGAACGGCGGCCGUAACUAUAACGGUCCUAAGGUAGCGAAAUUCCUUGUCGGGUAAGUUCCGACCCGCACGAAAGGCGUAACGAGCAGAGCACUGUCUCAACAAGGGACCCGGCGAAGUUGAAAUAGCGGUGAAGAUGCCGUUUACCCGCAGCAGGACAAAAAGACCCCGUGGAGCUUUACUGUAGCUUGACAUUGAGUUAGGGC